AGUCCUUUUCUCUUAAAAGGAGAGAAGAACGGCCUCCAUCUUCUCAAAAAAUUCUCCAUCUCAAACGUCAUUUUCUCCUGAUGGAGAAGCUGAAAAUUUCACCAUCUAAAAAGCUAGAAGUGCUUUUGGCUGAUAAAUGACCAAAAUAACCUGUCUUCUCCCCCUUGGAAAAACGUUCUUUCCUCUGCUGUGAAAGUUUUAUACCCAUUUUUUUCACAUUUUCACUGUGAAAGCUCCUUCCUGUUCUUUGUUCCUCUUCCGUAGGCUGCUCAUCUGAAGCAUCAAUCUCUAUUUGUGCAUCAAUCUCUAUUCAGGAAUCUUUGAUGUUGAAUGUAGAUGCUCUUGAUGCUUUGGGAUUGGUUCGGUAGUGCUGUAGGAGAAUGCUUAUGACUCAUGUUGACCUCAUUGAGAAGCUUCUGAACUACAACACAUUGGAGAAGUCGGAGACCAGUUGAGGAAACAUGUAGAAUCUAAGGGUUUGUUGCAGUUUGUGUGAGUGCCUGUCAAUGAUUCUCAGUUUUGUUUAAGUGGGGCCGUGUUUGAAUCCAGAAAAGGGAAGGAAAGGACUUAAAUAGUACUAGUCUAGUUUGUUUUCUUCAGCUCUAUGAUGGAUCGUUGUAUGUACGAAAUUAGUGGGAUUUGAAAUGCUGAAAGUGAUUGGAAUGCUUUGCUGUUUGCUGGGAUAAUUGUAGGAUCAAAGACUAACUUUUGUUAGUUGCAUUGCUACAGAUGUGUUAGUAAGUGUAGGAUGAAUGGGAACCUUAACCGAGCAUUUUAAAAUCAAUAAUGACAUGACCUUCUGGUAGCUUACAAGCUAAGUGAGGGAAGUGGGAAUGAAGCAAAAGACACCAUUUAAUUA